UCCUCCUCCUCCUCCUCUUUGUCCUCCUCUUCCUCCUCUUCUUCCUCCUCCUCCUCUUCCUCCUCCUCCUCCUCCUCCUCUUUGUCCUCCUCUUCCUCCUCCUCCUCUUCCUCCUCCUCCUCUUCCUCCUCCUCCUCUUCCUCCUCCUCCUCCACUUCCUCCUCCUCCUCCACCUCCUCCUCCUUCUCCUUCUUCUUCUGGUGAGAGAGGCUGAGGUACAUACACAGGUAGCUUCUCAGAUGACAUCAGGAAGGGACGAGCCACUGAGGUAUAGGUAUGUCGUGACCUUGAUGUUGUGCUGUGACUGUGUGUGCAUGUCUGGACUUUACAGUGAACUUAACUGAGCUAGACCAUUCAUGAACCCAACUGUUGCUCCUCCUGUGUUGCUGGGCUGUAGGAGAAGGCUCAGUAAGUAAAGAGCUUCCCACUGUGUGAGCAUGAGCACCUGAGUUCCACCUGUAGAACCCAUGGGAAGAACUGGGCACAGCAACACAUGCUGAUAAUUCCUGCCCUGGAUGGAGGGGGUAGAGACAGGCAGGUCCUUCCGUAUUGCUGACCAGCCAGUCAUCUUGUGGAGCCGAACUGAAGUCUCCCUCUCAGAAAGAAGGUGGGUGACCCCUGAGGAACCACAUUUGAACUUGUCUGGCCUCUACAUAAAUGUACAUAUAAAUACAUAUGUGUGCAAACACACACACACACACACACACACACACACACACACACACACACACACACCUAGCUAUGGCAUUUUACUACCAAGGCACAUAAAAUUGAAAAUGAAUACUGUCACCCCCUCUAAGUCAUUCUUUAUUGUUGGGAAGAAACCCUUCUCCAUUUACCUAUAAGUUCACAAUGACAGACUCCAGGACUCAGCACAGACUGUGGCUAAGAACACUUCUCUCUCUCUCUCUCUCUCUCUCUCUCUCUCUCUCUCUCUCUCUCUCUCUCUAGCAUCUAAGAAUAUGGAGGAUAAAGACUACAGUAUCUGACUUCCUUUAGUUGAUAACAAAACACCCACUCUCUCAGCUUACUUGGGCCACUGCAGCUGUUUCUCAGCUGUCUCAGCCAAGUGUAUCCCUGAGCUAUGCUGCCGGCCCAUCCUGUGCGUGGCUCCCCUCCUCCAGCUUCCGGGGAAACAGCUGUGCGAGCACGUCCUGUCCCACACUCCAGGCUCACCUACAGUGGGCUUUGUUGACAAGGUUAUGUCUCUCACAAGAGAACGCUGAGGACACUGUCUCAUGACUACCUAUCACUAAUGAACCAUCCUAAAAGUAAAGGCCAAGAGCUGUGACAGUCCCUUAUAAUCUCUCAUCCACUGUCAGACAGUAUGGGCUCAACUGCGAUCCCUCAGAUCCAAGGUGGCUCCCUUCCCCAGUCUGUCACAGGUAAGGGAUGGCUAGAAGGCUGGAAUUUCUCCAUUCUAAAAGUUUUAUCUUUUAUUUAUGUGCACGUGGAUGCCCAGAGAGCCCAGAGGUCGUGUCAGGUGCCCUGCAGCUGGAGUUACACACACGUGGUUGUGACGUGCCCGACACGGUUGCUAGGAACUAAAUUCAGCUCCCCUGGAAGAUGAGUGAUGCUCUUAACCGCAGAGCCAUUUCUCCAGCUUCUGGAGCUGCUGUCUAAAUAGCUAACCCGAGCUUGCACCCACAGCAUGUGGCUCCACAGAAGCAAGCAUCUGAAAAGGCAAGAACCAGCAGGCACAGGCUAAGCCAACAAAUGGACUUAGCAGGAUUCAAGGAAAAGGGAAAUGAUGUACCCCACUUCUUGAUAGAGAAGGACAAGAAAAGUGCUCCUCUGCUGUUUUCAGUUCCUGAUGAGACAGCAUCCUGUGGAUCGCAAGCUCCCUGGAAACUUAGGUUGUAGCCAAGAAUAACUCUGAACGGAUCACUCUCCAGUCCCUACCUCUCAAAUACCAGGAUCACAGGAAUUUAUCAGUGUAUCUGGUUGGGACCAAGGGCUUCGUGGGUCCUAGGCAAACACUAGAUCUAUCAACUGAGCAAGCUCCCUAGUCUGUUGUCCUAUUUUGAAUUUCAAAAGGUGCCGUAGAUGUGAUCUGUAACUGUGAUCUUCUGGCUAUAUCAAGAACAUAGAUCAAGGCCGGGAAGGCCUUCCUAGAGGACAGAAAAUGGUACAGUUAAGGCUAACAGAAUAGGUAAGCACAUCUGUGAACCUGUUAAGUAGCUACAAAACUGGUUCUGCAGCCACUCAGGACGCACACAGACUUUGGCAUCCUAAGAAUGUACCACAGGAAAACAAACAAAAGGAGUUUUAGUUAACCCUGAAGGCUGUAGCCCUUAGAGCUCCUUACAGAAAUCACAGCGGGAGCACAACGCUAUACAGAAUGUGAAAGGGAAACAAAAGGUCGUCUCCUACAGUGUGUGUGUGUGUGUGUGUGUGUGUGAGAGAGAGAGAGAGAGAGAGAGAGAGAGAGAGAGAGAACGUAAAAUCCAGAAGGAGAGAUGGGAGUCUAGGCCAAUCUCAUUUCUCUGAAAAUGUGACUGCCUCCUAUUUUUAAAACAGUCAACGCUGGAGUCUGGAAAGAUAAGGCUUAGCAGUUAAGAUCACUCUGAUCUUUCAAAGGACCUGAAUUCAUUCCCAGCACCCACAGUGGACUGCUCACAACUCCUGUAAGUCUAGAGGCUCUGUUGCCAUCUUCUGGCCUCACUGGUUGUCUAAACACAUGGGAUGUAUGCACUUACAUACUCAUGCACAUGCAAAUCCAUGUAACUUCCUGUCUCUUCUCAUGCUCACUUCCUUGGGCAUGUGUAUGAGAACACACGCAUACAGAUAUUUCACUUAUCGGGGUCUCUUUGCUACUGGUAAGAACCGCAGUCCCUUCUGUCUUCUUUAAUAUUUGUACCUCCACAGACUUCCCCGAGCCUAGGAUGUCAAACAGAUUCAGAAGUGUCACCUAGCGGGACUGACUCCUGGUAGCCACAACAGGUAAGUCACAAGUUGGCCUUGAUUUAUUCCUUCUUCCCUGUUGUUGGUACUGGUGACUGAAGUAAGUAUUCAUUUCCUUCUGUUUGUAACAAUGCACAGUUACUCUCUACUUAUAAGGGUUUAAAAAAUAAACAUUUACUUAGGUUUUACUCUUUAGUGAAGAAUUCGUGACCAGUACAGACUUGUAGUCUAUGUUUGGUAAAAAUUAAUAACGUCCACUCUUAACACAAAUAAGUCCGGGAAGAAAAAAACAUAUAAAUGUUCCUAAGGAACACUGACAAGUAUAAAGGAAGUAUAAGAUAUGAAAAGCGUUAGACUUUUUUCUAUUUUUCAGAGACUCCAUUUACUUUCUGUCCCAAGGAUGAUGUCCGAUACACAGCAAGCCGCAGUCAUAGGUCUGAAGGUAAAAUUUGCUGACAAUCUCAUUUCAAGCACAUCCAAAAUUAGCAACUAAUUCUCUCCACAUGCUUUAUUAAUAGACUCCUGAAACUCGGAGAUUGGAGAGAACCACAGUCGGCAUUCGGUCGGCAAACCUCAUGGACUGAGGAGAAACACAUUCUAAUAUAAUCAUUACCAACAGCAAAACCUGAUAACCCUGACCCAGACACUCCUCAAUCAGGAGCCGGUGUGGGAUGGGGAUCCCAACCCCCGACGCUGUUUGGUUUAGAUUAUAAUCUCCACAAUUUACCCCCACCUCAGGCUACGUGGUAUGAGUAGUCUGAAAUAAUCUAGGGUUGAGGAUAUAGCUCAGCUGGUAGAGUGCUUAACCAGCAUGAUGAAGCUGCGGGUCUGAUGCUCGAAACUCCAUACACUGGGCCUCCUUAUAAUCCCAGCACUCGGUGCUGGAGUCAAAAAGACCAGAGUCCCAGAUCAACCUGGGCUACAUGAGAGCUUGCCUCAAAAUAACGAACAGAAUCAUCUGUUACAUCUACUUUUACAACUAUUUUUUUUUCCAGGCAUACUUCUGAAAGAGUGACUUAAAAUUGGGCUUGAUGAAGACGAGAGAGAACAGUUUUUAAGAAAUACAAUGAAAGGAAAGGCAGCCAUUACCCAAAAGCAAUCUUACUGUGUGGCCCUUUAUAAAAACAAAUAAGCCUCGGCCUCUCUCCAAAGACCUGUAAACUAAAGUUAUAAAAAUAAAAGUGAGACAUAAAAUUAAAAUAAAUUUUUUUUAUUGAUCCCCGGGACUCCUCCAUUACAGGAGAAAAGUCAUUAAUUCUGAAAGGAUGACCUGCCUUACCAAAAAAUAUAAAUUAAAGACCCCUUUGUUGAUAACGCCUCAGCAGAGAGAUUUGCUGCAAAUUCAAUCCUUAAACAUCUGUGAGGAAUUCUUGUCUUCUCUUUCAGAGGGAGCAAUAACAAAAAGUUAAUAUUUAUUCAUGGUUAUUAAGCAUUAAUAAGGGCAGUCACCAUGGCUUGAGAUAAAUGGGGUCAAAGGAGCCUGCUGAAUUUGUGCCUCUACCCUUCUAAAAAUCCGAGUCUAGAGAUGCUUGAUGAAGACAAAGAGGGAAGAACUAGAAAAGAGACACGAAGAAAGGCAGAAGACGGCAGCACGCACUUUAUUCAAAACUAUUGCACCCUGCCUCCUGGCCUUUAUGAUCUCGCUCCGAUGAACAAUUGCGAUCUGAAGCUUGGGGAGCUGCCUUCUACAUCCUCGGCGAAUGAGAAGCAGCAAAUCACACAAGGCCACCGCUCUGAGAGAUGCACAAGUAGCCCUGGCUCAGCAGAGAACUGACGAUGUGCUCCAAAGUCUCUGAAACCAGGGCUCCGAGGAAGUCAAAAUAGCACUAAGUGUAUACCUAUCUUAUUAGCCCCACCAGCAUUUCUCUCUCUCUCUCUCUCUCUCUCUCUCUCUCUCUGUGUGUGUGUGUGUGUGUGUGUGUGUGUGUGUGUGUGCACGUGCAUGCCUGUGUGUGCAUGUGCCCAUACACGAAGAUGUGUGUGUAAAGCUCAUAUGUGCAUUGGAGUCUGUGUGCAGAGAGGUCAGAGUUCAAUCUCAGGGGUCCUUCAGGUGCAUCUCUUGUUGGCCUAAGCUUUCUGAACAGAUUAGGCUCACUGGCUGGGCACUGAUGGGGUCUGUUGUUUUCCUCAUGUCCAGCUUUUUUACAUGGGAAUUAAGAAUCAAGUUGGAGUUUCUUUUUUUUUUUUUUUUUUUUUUUUUGCAAGAUAAGCAUUUUACCAACUGAGCCAUCUCUCUUGUCCCGGCUUUGCUAACAGAUAGGCUCAGCAACCUUAAGAAUGACCAGAUUAAAUGUCACAAAGGUCACCUGGAGUAACAAACCUGGGACCUGCCUGACACUGUCUACUUAGGACGGCAUCACAGAGAGCUACGUAAGCAUGAGACUAUGGGGCAAUCUGAAAGCUGAGCUGUCCCUGUGUGGUUCCCUCAGUGGAGAUUACAGAGAGCCCAGCAGGAAGAGGGUGGUUUGGGCACCAUCAAGUCCCCUGAGAUCCAAACUUUGGUGGGACCUGCAGAUGUACACUUGGACAAGGGACCACACUAUCUUGUUCAAAAGAGCGACCCGAGGAGCUUGGUCUCUUCCCCCUUUCAGAUUCUGCUUCUGAUAAGAAACCACUUCCCAGCUCGGUCAGAAAUGACAAAAAUCUGACAACCUCCCUUCUCUUUUAAGAAGUGGCAUUGUGAAAGCCACAAAAAUGUGCUCAGCUAAUAUUUGCAGUGUGAGAGAUAACGCAGCUACUGGAAGAAAAGGUACCUGUACACAGGCUCUAGCAGGACAGAAUGGCCUGUCCCUGGCUAGAGGUAGAACCCACUUCCAUUUCCUUCUUACUGUUGGAAACUGAUAAGAAAAAUUAAUUCCUUUACUUCUGCGCUACUCCAGGAGAUAAGCUCUAUUAUGCAGACUUUGAAAAUCCUCACCGGACACCCUGUUGCCUUAAUGCACAGGUGUCCCAUAGGUGUCCUGAAUUUCUUUUGUGGAGCACAUCCCUAUGCCCAGCAAGAGGCACCACAUACCAUGAAGGCUCGAGAGUGAUGAAGGCAGGUACCUUUUUCACAUGUUGCCUUGUGGUUGCGUGACAAAACUUCCAGGAGAGACCCUACAUAUAUAGCUACUCACCUUUGAGAGGGAACCCAAGACAGACCAAAGCAUGGAUACCAACAAAACCCAACUUGGCCAGAGGGGUCAAGCACGCCACAAGAAAACCCAGAGAAUCAACCAACCUGAGCCCACAGGAGCUCACAGAGACUGAACUGCCAACCAGCAGCCUAAGCCCUCCAUACAUAUGUAACAGUUAUGCAGACUGGUCUUCAUGUGGAACUUCUAACAGUGGGAGCGGGGCCUGUCUCUGACUCUGCUGCCUGUCUUUGGGCCUCUUUCCUCCUACUGGGUUGCCUUGUCCAGCCUUAAUAGAAGAGGAGGUGCCUAGUCCUACUGCAACUUGAUAGGCUGUGGCCGGUUGAUACGCACUAAGGCUGGCCCUUUUCUCAAGAGAAUGAGAGGAGGAGUGGAUGAGGCUGGGGGUGGGGGUUGGGGGGUAGGGCAGGGUGGGGCAGGUAGAGGGACUCGGAGGACAGGAUGAGAGGUAACUGCCAUAAACACACAUGCACGCACACAUGCACACACAUAUGAUGCACACACACACACACACACACACACACAUAUGAACACACACAUGCACACCCUACCAAAUGACCCACUCCACAUAUGUGGAAGCAGAAAUGAAGAUCUCCAAAGUUCAACGAGCUAGAUAUAGGGAAGGAGAAAAUGAAGAGACUUCAUUUCCACAGGGUCCCAGACAGGAACCCAGUUAUGACGGUGACAGCACAGAACACUCCCAACAAGUCUUUCCACCGACCCUUUCUGUGUAACUACGGAAAGUCACAGUAACACUCAGAAAGCGUAGAGUCAAGGGUGAGGGUGUGGCUCAGCGUAGGGGCCUCCUUAGCAUGCUAUCACACUACUUCAGCCCCAUCACCUUAGAACAAUGCAGAAGACAAGCCCGUCUUCAUAAAGGCCUCUGCUUAGAUUGGAACUGCAUUUCCACCAACUCCAACAGGUCAAGCCACAGACCUUCAACCUUAGAAUUUAAAAGCAACUAAAUCUUUGAAAACCAUAUCCAUGAAUGAUGCCAUCAGCAACUGCAGUGUAUUAUUUCCAACUUCAAAUUCUCCAACUGUCAAGCAACGUGAUUUUACGACGGUGAGGUUAAGUCAUCUAAACUGUUCACUAAAUCACGAUGGUUGAGGCCACAUGCCCUCUACGGCCUCUUUAAAGGGAUGUAAGAUCAGGAAUAAGGCCAUCUGAGGCCAUGAAGCCAUUUUAGUUGAUAAAGAAGUCCAGAGGGCCUGCUGCUAGUUUACCAUUCACCUGGGAUUAGUUCCAGAAGGAAGUUAAUUAAGAAGUAUCUUAGUUCUGUGAUAUAACAUCCAGUCUGAAACACUGCAUCUGAAAAAGUUCUAGAAUUUUUGGGUUUCGGUGGGGAGGAGGCUAGAGUUUUAAUAUACAUAUUUCAACUAUUUCUGAAUACUUUAAAUAUCUACCCACCUUAAUUAUAAAAGUUUGGACCAAAGCAUUUUUCUUCCUCUCUCAGAGGUUCAUAUAUUGCCCCUGGGGGAAAACUCCAAACGUGAGAUCAUGAAGCUUUAAAAAAUGGGUAGUCAAGGCAAACACACUGUGCACGGGUCAUUAGGUAUGGUUUCUUAAAUCUCUAGAAUGAAAGAGCACUACCUUCUUCCUGGAACAGUGCAUCGAGUGUCUCUCCACUUCUCUAACCCUGCACAACGAAAGCCCUUAAGAAAGGAAGGCUGGUUCACACAGGUGCCCUGUUAUUACAGAGAAGUGAACGUUGCUGGACUCCUGCUGGAUUUCUAGUCAGAUUGAAACACUGGCAGUGUAAACUUUAGGACUUCUGAAAUCCACAUUUUCCUGGAAAAAAAUGUUUAUUCUUUUGCUACCUGGUAGAAUUUCAUCCACUUUACUGAUACAUAAACAUUGGCUAGUCUAGAAAAGUGAGGACAGCUGUAUUGAUGCUUACAGAACCGAUACAAAGUACUUCAUUUACACACACACAAACACACACACACACACACACACACAAAAACAUACACACACACAAACACACACACACAAACACACACACAAACACACACCCACAAACACACAAACACACAAACACACACACACACACACAAUUUUUGUUGAGGAGGAACAUGGGACCUCCCACAUCCUAAACUACAUGUCCAGCCUUAGAGAUACAAAGUAACUCAAUUUUAAAGUUUAACCAGGAUCAUCAAAUCAAUGAAAUCAGGGAUCCUCCAACUUAACACAUACUUUGGUUCCCUUGGCUGAGAGAUAGGAACAUUUGACUCAUAAGUAUCAGAACUGGCUACAGUUCUUGAAUGAUCCCUAUCUAUAAGAAACAGGCAUCUUAUUCAAUCUACUCCACCCUCUAUCCUCUAAAUUAACUUCCUGUUCAAACAUGGCACUGCUAACAGACACUUGGAUUCAAAGCACAACCUCAAACAAACUGACCAGGACAUGGGAAUUACUUGCCCACUCACAUUGGGCACAGAAGCAAACCCUCUCUGUCUCAGCUGGCUCAAACAAGUAAAAGUAAGCCAUCAGGUGAAUUAGGAAGAAAACUCCAUGACAGCAUUGUGCAUACACAACAGACCUGAGAGAGAAGUGUCUGUUACAGGCUUUCAGCAAUCUCCCUAACCAAGAAGCCCACCAUCACCAUUGUCCUUCAGGGCUCCAUCCUUUUAUGCCUCAAGAGGGGUGUGCACUGUGGGCGACUUCUUUCCUCUGGCUGUCUGUUCCAGGCAGCUGGUAGACUUCUACACCUCUCGUGUGAAUUAAAGAAACAGGAAGACUGGGGCUGGGGAUUUAGCUCAGUGAUAGAGCGCUUGCCUAGGAAGCGCAAGGCCCUGGGUUCGGUCCCCAGCUCCGAAAAAAAGAACCAAAAAAAAAAAAAAAAGAAAAGAAAAAGAAAGAAAGAAA